UGGAAAUUCACGAGAUUCCAUUAAAGUCACCGCCGCUUGAUUUUGGAAAGCUAUCAAUAUCUGAUGCUUCUCCGAUAAUAGUGCACGAACUGAAGAUUACGAAGAUUCUUGUACGACAUGCGGAGGCGGUUAAUAGCAGACUUUUUGUGCCUAAUCCAUCUCAUGAUUUGAAAUCUAAAGAGAAAAAUGAAGAGGGAAGACGCAAAUUAAGACUGUGAAAGUAUGUUCUCAUCUCCCUCUCUCUCUUGCAUACUGCUUGAUCUCUUGUCCACUAGUAUUGCUGAACAGUCCCUUGUUGUCUUCACCUUAAUUAUGUGGACUUCUAGUUUUACUUUAUUGCU